rnacentral:rRNA from 1 species
CCUACGGGUGGCAGCAGUGGGGAAUAUUGCACAAUGGGGGAAACCCUGAUGCAGCGACGCCGCGUGAGUGAAGAAGUAAUUCGUUAUGUAAAGCUCUAUCAGCAGGGAAGAAAAUGACGGUACCUGAGUAAGAAGCCCCGGCUAACUACGUGCCAGCAGCCGCGGGAAUACGUAGGGGGCAAGCGUUAUCCGGAUUUACUGGGGGUAAUGGGAGCGUAGACGGGAGUGCAAGUCUGGAGUGAAAGGCGGGGGCUCAACCCCCGGACUGCUCUGGAAACUGUACGGCUGGAGUGCAGGAGAGGUAAGUGGAAUUCCUGGUGUAGCGGUGAAAUGCAUAGAUAUUAGGAAGAACACCAGUGGCGAAGGCAGCUUACUGGACUGUAACUGACGUUGAGGCUCGAAAGCGUGGGGAGCAAACAGGAUUAGAUACCCGGGUAGUC